GCUAUACAUGCAAGUCGAGCGGACAGAUGGGAGCUUGCUCCCUGAUGUUAGCGGCGGACGGGUGAGUAACACGUGGGUAACCUGCCUGUAAGACUGGGAUAACUCCGGGAAACCGGGGCUAAUACCGGAUGCUUGUUUGAACCGCAUGGUUCAAACAUAAAAGGUGGCUUCGGCUACCACUUACAGAUGGACCCGCGGCGCAUUAGCUAGUUGGUGAGGUAAUGGCUCACCAAGGCAACGAUGCGUAGCCGACCUGAGAGGGUGAUCGGCCACACUGGGACUGAGACACGGCCCAGACUCCUACGGGAGGCAGCAGUAGGGAAUCUUCCGCAAUGGACGAAAGUCUGACGGAGCAACGCCGCGUGAGUGAUGAAGGUUUUCGGAUCGUAAAGCUCUGUUGUUAGGGAAGAACAAGUACCGUUCGAAUAGGGCGGUACCUUGACGGUACCUAACCAGAAAGCCACGGCUAACUACGUGCCAGCAGCCGCGGUAAUACGUAGGUGGCAAGCGUUGUCCGGAAUUAUUGGGCGUAAAGGGCUCGCAGGCGGUUUCUUAAGUCUGAUGUGAAAGCCCCCGGCUCAACCGGGGAGGGUCAUUGGAAACUGGGGAACUUGAGUGCAGAAGAGGAGAGUGGAAUUCCACGUGUAGCGGUGAAAUGCGUAGAGAUGUGGAGGAACACCAGUGGCGAAGGCGACUCUCUGGUCUGUAACUGACGCUGAGGAGCGAAAGCGUGGGGAGCGAACAGGAUUAGAUACCCUGGUAGUCCACGCCGUAAACGAUGAGUGCUAAGUGUUAGGGGGUUUCCGCCCCUUAGUGCUGCAGCUAACGCAUUAAGCACUCCGCCUGGGGAGUACGGUCGCAAGACUGAAACUCAAAGGAAUUGACGGGGGCCCGCACAGCGGUGGAGCAUGUGGGUUUAAUUCGAAGCAACG
rnacentral:rRNA from 1 species